UUCAAAGAGACACUCACAUAGUAGAGGCCAUAAUUUGAUGUUUGAUGCAUUUAUAUAUUAGGGCAACAAAUCCACUUCUAAUAUUACUGUAAUCCAAAUUCUGAAAGUAUUCUGAGUAAGGUAGGAAAAAAAUACUAAAAGAAAUGUAACUUAUCUCCUAAAACCUUUCACAAAGUAAAAAUAAUCAAAAUGGGUAAACUACAUGC
rnacentral:lncRNA from 1 species